rnacentral:rRNA from 1 species
AUUGAACGCUGGCGGCAGGCCUAACACAUGCAAGUCGAACGAGUGGCGGACGGGUGAGUAAUGUCUGGGAAACUGCCUGAUGGAGGGGGAUAACUACUGGAAACGGUAGCUAAUACCGCAUACCAUCAGAUGGGCCCAGAUGGGAUUAGCUAGUUGGUGGGGUGACGGACCACCCAGACGACGAUCCCUAGCUGGUCUGAGAGGAUGACCAGCCACACUUGAACGGGGACACGGUCCAGACUCCUACGGGAGGCAGCAGUGGGGAAUAUUGCACAAUGGGCGCAAGCCUGAUGCAGCCAUGCCGCGUGUAUGAAGAAGGCCUUCGGGUUGUAAAGUACUUUCAGCGGGGAGGCGUUACCCGCAGAAGAAGCACCGGCUAACUCCGUGCCAGCAGCCGAGGUAAUAC